CCUACGGGCGGCAGCAGUGGGGAAUAUUGGACAAUGGGGGCAACCCUGAUCCAGCCAUGCCGCGUGUGUGAAGAAGGCCCUCGGGUUGUAAAGCACUUUCAGUGAGGAAGAACGCCUGGUGGUUAAUACCCAUCAGGAAAGACAUCACUCACAGAAGAAGCACCGGCUCAACUCCGUGCCAGCAGCCGCGGUAAUACGGAGGGUGCGAGCGUUAAUCGGAAUUACUGGGCGUAAAGCGCGCGUAGGUGGCUUGAUAAGCCGGUUGUGAAAGCCCCGGGCUCAACCUGGGAACGGCAUCCGGAACUGUCAAGCUAGAGUGCAGGAGAGGAAGGUAGAAUUCCCGGUGUAGCGGUGAAAUGCGUAGAGAUCGGGAGGAAUACCAGUGGCGAAGGCGGCCUUCUGGACUGACACUGACACUGAGGUGCGAAAGCGUGGGUAGCAAACAGGAUUAGAUACCCUAGUAGUC
rnacentral:rRNA from 1 species